CGAGGCUUCGUCUAGCCAGGUACAGGACGCCUCCAAGCAGGAAACACUGGUUCAAAUCCAGUAGCCUCGA
rnacentral:tRNA from 1 species